rnacentral:lncRNA from 1 species
ACCACAAUAUCUGAGGAAGCCAAACUAUCAACCCUUAAAAUGUUCGUCGUCCCCCGUUUCCCGCUCCCCCCCCCCCCCCCUCCCCCCCCGGUAGAAAAUUAUUCAGUGGGCUGAAAAAAAUGUAUAGACAUGUACUUUCUAAAGGAUAAGAUAGAGAAAAUUAAAAUUCCUAUCAUAAUAAUAAUUCACAAUGGGAUUGUUAUAUAUGGAGUGGUAACUCUUGUCAAGAAAAUGGUUGAUAUUAAUAAAGACGGGGGAGAUUUAGGAAUGACGCCAUGGGGGUUGGAAAACCCUAUGGUUGAGAUAACAUUAGACUCUAAAGGAUAAGGCCAUCAGGAAUAUAAAAGAGUUUAGAGGGAACAAAGAAGGGUGAUUCAGGAGACUCCAUGCAGUCUCGGGUUUCUUGUUCUCCAGAUGGUUCUCUUGUUCUCCAGCCAUUAAGGCAUGGAUGUUUCUGGGUGUUUGCUGUUGUUGUUACAUUCAAAGUUGUUUGACCAAUGAAAAGUUGUUUGGAAAAGAACUGCUGUGGAGAGAAGGGUAUAAGAGGGGAGCCUGCCCUCAAGAUAAAAAAAAAAAAAAGGCAACACAAUGAAGUUACAUCAAUAAAGAAGCAGGGAAAAGAAGUGAAGAGGAACAGGCUGGCAGAAUGGACACCACGACAGGAACAGGCACUUUGAUUGCCUCAUGAAGAUAGGUUCGGCCAGACUCAGCAAACUGCUCAGAGAAGCUCGUACAGAAAGUCGCUGGAAAUAUGCGCAAUGGAGCUGGAGAGAAGCUCGAGCUGAGAGAAGCGGACCUGUGCACACAACUGCCCCAAGCUGGUAAGCAGUUGCGCAUUAUGGGGAAUCAUACAUCCUUAGGAACAAAAUCUGUCCUGGUAACCUUACAGCUUAUUCUCCUUUUUAACAAUCUGACAAGGUUGCAGUGGGAUUGCUCGGCACCUGGCGAGCAGUCUCUGAGGCCUUAAAGAGCCAUGUGGGACCACAAUCACAAACGUGUGGUUUGCCAGACAGUGAGGGAGCUGCAGGCUCCUUUACUGAUCUGACUGCUACGCCAUCGCAUUGGCCCCUCUGCUGCUACAGCCAUCGAAGGCUUUUGCUGUUUCGCCCCCUGCUGACCUGGACGUGCCUUUUGACCCAGGCCUCUUGGCCUUCAUGCGGAGAUGGACAUAAUUUUCUUCAAUCUGGGAAGAACGGGAUACAUAAGGCCUGAAGCAAGAAAAGGAAUGGAAAAUGGAGACUGUUAAGUUAUGGAACUUAAAGGAUUGUUUGUUACCUAUCCUGAUUGUAUGUAUAUAUAGGCAUAC